rfam:Felis catus isolate Cinnamon breed Abyssinian chromosome D4, whole genome shotgun sequence.
GCCUGGGUGGCUCAUUUGGUUAAGCGCCUGAUUUCGGCUCAGGUCAUGAUCUCAUAGUUCGUGAGUUUGAGCCCCACAUCGGGCU